rnacentral:lncRNA from 10 species
CUGCUGGCUCCUCCUCUGGUCCCUCGGGACAGUCUGGCCUGGCCUGCCUGCUGCAGAACAAAGCCACUUUCUCCUGUGUCCCCAGAUCCCCAUCUAGUGACCAGCUCCCUCUGCCUCUUGCUCUCCUCUCCUCCUUCCCCUGGCUGGACACCUCCUCCAGCUGCUCUCCUGGCUCCCGCAGCCCUGUCCCCCUGCCUCUGCUGUGUUUCCAGCUGGGAUCUGGUCACUCUGUCUUCAUUUGGUCUGUCCACAUGGGAGGUGAGACCAGGCCUUAGCCUGGGUUCUAGCCCUGGGAGCCCAUCUCAGGGCUGGCCAGUAGUACCCUCUAGGUUCCAGGGAGGUGUUCAGGGUGCAAACACCCUCCCCAGACAGGCCCCCAAUCCGAGACUUGCCUUGGCCCUCUGCGGGUCUCCCACCCUCCCUCCUGGGCAGGCCUCAGCUGGCAUACCUACCUGGGUCUCUGUCCUCAGGCCUGAGCCACUGGUGCCUGUGUCUCAAGCUGUAGAGGCAUCUUCCCAGGCCAGGGAGUAUCCUGGGUCCACUUCUCUUCUGGGUCACUCACUCUAAGUGGGACUCCUUCAUCGUAGGGAAUGCUGGAAGGACAUAAGAAGCUCUGAGCCUGGAGCAGCCCAUCAGAGCUUGGUCCUGUAAGCCAGCUUCCCCUUUAAUGGCUGGUCUGCUCAAAAACCCAGCACGAGGCCGAGGCGGGAGGAUCACUUGAGCUGGGGAGUUCAAGACCAGCCUGGGCAACAUAAGGCAACCCUAUUUCUACAAAAAGUUUAAAAAAUUAGCCAGGCGUGGUGGUGCAUGCCUGUGGUCCCAGGUAUUUGGGAGGCUGAGGUGGGAGGAUCCCUUGAACCCAAGAGGUUGAGGCUGCAGUGAGCUGUGAUUGAGCCACUGCUCUCCAUCCUGGGUGACAGAGCGAGAUCUUGUCUCAAAAACAAAACAAAACAAAACAAACCAGCACAACACGCAAGCCCCCGCCCCCCCAUCCCCACACCUACCCUGCUUCCAGCACACCCCUCACCGCCAGUGCCAGGCCUGGGGUCCCUGCACUCCCUCACUUCCAGGCCCCUGUGCCUGGUGGCUCUUCUACCAGGAAGGCCCUUCCCCUCUGCUCCAGGCUGACCGCACUACAUCCUUCAGAACUCUGCUCUGGCCCCAGUCCCCUUCCCCCUGAAGCCUAGUUAGAUAAAACACAGGGGACAGCUUUCUCCUGGCCCAGGGGGCCCUGGCUAUUUGCAAGCAGGACAGGGCUCCUUCUAGGCCUGGCAUUGGCCUGGCCCACAGUGGGUGCUCUGUGAAUGGCACUGGGGAGCCGUAUCCAGUGAAAUCAUAUGGGAAACACCAUCCUUGAGUGGGCACCAAGCCAGGCUGAGGCCUAAGGGAUGGGGAAGGGCUGGGAACAGCUCAGUGGUAUGGCAGGGGAGGCCAGUGUGGAUGUGGAGUCGGUGGCCAGCAGUGAGCAAGGCUGCUGCAGCUCAGGACAGCGUGGCCAGCAGUGUCCAGGCCAGGCCAGCCAUGGCCCCGCAUGGAACUGAACCCACCGUGCAGAUGAAACAAGGGCUUUUCAUACCAUCCAGAGCCUUGGGGGAGGCGGCCCCAGCUGGCCCUUGGUCUGUGGGCUUCUCUGUGGCCCCUGGCUGGGU